rnacentral:rRNA from 1 species
CCUACGGGUGGCAGCAGUGAGGAAUAUUGGUCAAUGGCCGGAAGGCUGAACCAGCCAUGCCGCGUGAAGGUCAGUGCCCUAUGGGCGUUAAACUUCUUUUGUGCGGGAGCAAUAAUGGUCACGUGUGGCCAGACGAGAGUACCGUACGAAUAAGCAUCGGCUAACUCCGUGCCAGCAGCCGCGGUAAUACGAGGGAUGCAAGCGUUAUCCGGAUUUAUUGGGGUUAAAGGGUGCGUAGGCUUUGAGGUAAGUCAGCGGUGAAAUGCCCCCGCUCAACGGGGUGAAGUGCCAUUGAUACUGCCUUGCUGGAAUGCGGAUGCCGUGGGAGGAAUGUGUGGUGUAGCGGUGAAAUGCAUAGAUAUCACACAGAACACCGAUUGCGAAGGCAUCUCACGAAUCCGCGAUUGACGCUGAUGCACGAAAGCGUGGGUAUCAAACAGGAUUAGAUACCCCUGUAGUC